rnacentral:rRNA from 1 species
CAGCCGCCGCGGUAAUACGGAGGAUCCAAGCGUUAUCCGGAAUCAUUGGGUUUAAAGGGUCCGUAGGCGGUCUUGUAAGUCAGUGGUGAAAGCCCAUCGCUCAACGGUGGAACGGCCAUUGAUACUGCAGGACUUGAAUUAUUGGGAAGUAACUAGAAUAUGUAGUGUAGCGGUGAAAUGCUUAGAGAUUACAUGGAAUACCAAUUGCGAAGGCAGGUUACUACCAAUUGAUUGACGCUGAUGGACGAAAGCGUGGGUAGCGAACAGGAUUAGAUACCCCCGUAGUUCCUGUCUCUUAUAA